CCUCGUAGACAUCAUCAGGCAGCGACUCUACUGAUCACCUAGGAAACGCUUGGGGCGUUCCCUACCUGGUGUAGGCCCUGAGGAGUGAAAGAGCUCAAGAAUUCCCUAGCAUGCCUCCUCCAACUUUGCCCUUAACCCCGGAGAAAAGAAAUAAUGCAUAGAUACAACCUAAUCUUUUUCAUCCUCUCUGAGGGCAACAGUAUUAAUAACAAGAACAACAGUAAUAACUAGCAGGCCAAGAAAACCCCAAAUGGGAUCGCAGAGCCCAAACCCCUUAAAGAAAAUAUAGCACUAUAAUGUUUGCAAACCAAUUUUACACGUUAUCUCAUCAGGAGAUCUAGGACAGGGCAUACAUGAGCCACCUUUUUAGAGUGUGGUUGAACAUGUACAAAAUCUGUGUGCUGUGAGUUUGAGGGGAAUCUCCCCAGAAAUAAUAGCCCGAGAAGUCAAAGAAAUGGAACCUUCAAGGUUGUGCUGAUUUUGUCUAAAAAGAGAAGUCUUCCACCUAGAUAUUUAGAUGACAUUAAGUAGGGAUCACCUACCAUCAAGAUGGUCUGAUGAGAUUAACUACAGAGAAACACCCCAAAACUAGUAUAAUCUUUCCCCUCACCCCCAAUCACUUGCAAUCUGUCUCUACUACCAAAAUAAAGAAUGACUGAUCAGCCUCUCCUAAAACUAUUUAAAACUUUACAAUUGUAUCUCUGCCUUGUUCUUCUUCACCUGUUUCACAUGAUGAAGUGGCUUUACUCUUUGCCAAGAUUGAUUCUGCAAGGAAUUGAAAGCCUCCUGGUAACCACACUACACCUCAGCUGAUGUUAAUUAAACUUUUUAUCCUCCAGUAGACACAAUAUUCACUCUGGAGAAGUGCCCAGUAUUGUCAUUUCUAGUUUAGUGAUGUUCAGCAGUGUGAACAAGGGAAUGACCAGAAAGAAGGAAAUUUGAAGUUUGAAGAAAUGCAUCAGAAGAGGAG
ensembl:lncRNA